rnacentral:rRNA from 1 species
CCUACGGGCGGCAGCAGUGGGGAAUAUUGCACAAUGGGGGAAACCCUGAUGCAGCGACGCCGCGUGAGCGAUGAAGUAUUUCGGUAUGUAAAGCUCUAUCAGCAGGGAAGAAAAUGACGGUACCUGACUAAGAAGCCCCGGCUAACUACGUGCCAGCCGCCGCAGUAAUACGUAGGGGGCAAGCGUUGUCCGGAUUUACUGGGUGUAAAGGGAGCGUAGACGGCGGUGCAAGGCAGUAGUGAAAGCCCUGGGCGCAACCCCGGUACUGCAUUUGGAACUGGGCUGCUAGAGUGUCGGAGAGGCAGGCGGAAUUCCUGGUGUAGCGGUGAAAUGCGUAGAUAUUAGGAGGAACACCAGUGGCGAAGGCGGCCUGCUGGACGAUGACUGACGUUGAGGCUCGAAAGCGUGGGGAGCAAACAGGAUUAGAUACCCGAGUAGUC